UAAUACGUAGGGGGCGAGCGUUGUCCGGAAUUAUUGGGCGUAAAGAGCGUGUAGGCGGUUCGGUAAGUCUGCUGUGAAAUCCUGGGGCUCAACCCCGGGCGUGCAGCGGAUACUGCCGGGCUAGAGGGUGGUAGAGGCGAGUGGAAUUCCCGGUGUAGCGGUGAAAUGCGCAGAUAUCGGGAGGAACACCAGUAGCGAAGGCGGCUCGCUGGGCCACUCCUGACGCUGAGACGCGAAAGCAUGGGGAGCGAACAGGAUUAGAUACCCUGGUAGUCCAUGCCGUAAACGAUGAACACUAGGUGUUGGGGGAGUCGAAUCCCUCGGUGCCGCAGCCAACGCGUUAAGUGUUCCGCCUGGGGAGUACGGCCGCAAGGCUA
rnacentral:rRNA from 1 species